rnacentral:rRNA from 1 species
UACAUGGGGUGCAAACGUUGCUCGGAAUUAUUGGGCGUAAAGCGCACGUAGGCGGUUCGUUAAGUCGGAUGUGAAAGCCCUCGGCUCAACUGAGGAAGUGCACCCGAAACUGGCGAGCUUGAGUACGAAAGAGGAUCGCGGAAUUCCCGGUGUAGAGGUGAAAAUUCGUAGAUAUCGGGAGGAACACCGGUGCGAAGGCGGCGAUCUGGGUCGAUACUGACGCUGAGGUGCGAAAAGCGUGGGGAGCAAA